UAUAAAACUGAAAAUAACCGUUUUUUUAUUUUUAUUUUUUUUACAUGCAUGCAAUUAUAUAUAUAUAUAUAUACAUGUACACAUACUAUAUAUAUAAAUAGUUACAUACCCUACAUCGAGUUAUAAAAUUUUUACUUUUAUGCAGAAUUCAAAGAACUAAAAAUAUCAAAAGACAAAUGGUAUGUUCUAUUUGUUCAAGAAAUUAUUAAAGAUAUUAAAAUAAAAGCAGGAGAAUAUGGUGAUCUCAGUAUUGAUUAUUUUAGAAAAAGCGAAAAUGAAGAGGAACUAGAAAACAAUAAACUGGGGUCCGUUGGUUUGUUUGCAAAUAAAGGAAACUGCAAAUUCAGGAACAUAAUAUUCAGGGGUAAAAAAUGGAGCACAGAAUACGAAAAAUUAAAGUCGAAAAAUGAUGUUUUAUUGUAUGACCUUGAAGAAAUAGAAGCGUUAUAUGAAAAAUCGCAAGGUACUUUGCUUAAAUUAAAAAAUAAUUUGUGUUACAUUAUAUGUGCAUAAACAUACACAUGUAGAAAGGUGCAACCUGCUUAUAAUUAUUACUACUAUUACUACUAUUAUUAUUAUCAUUAUUAUUAUUAUUAUCAUUAUUAUCAUUAUUAUUAUUAUAAUUAUUAUAUAUAUAUACAAUAAAGGAACUAGUUUUUAUUAAACA
rnacentral:lncRNA from 1 species